rnacentral:rRNA from 1 species
GAUGAACGCUGGCGGCGUGUCUAAUACAUGCAAGUCGAGCGAACAGAUAAGGAGCUUGCUCCUUUGACGUUAGCGGCGGACGGGUGAGUAACACGUGGAUAACCUACCUAUAAGACUGGGAUAACUUCGGGAAACCGGAGCUAAUACCGGAUAACAUAUUGAACCGCAUGGUUCAAUAGUGAAAGGCGGCUUUGCUGUCACUUAUAGAUGGAUCCGCGCCGUAUUAGCUAGUUGGUAAGGUAACGGCUUACCAAGGCAACGAUACGUAGCCGACCUGAGAGGGUGAUCGGCCACACUGGAACUGAGACACGGUCCAGACUCCUACGGGAGGCAGCAGUAGGGAAUCUUCCGCAAUGGGCGAAAGCCUGACGGAGCAACGCCGCGUGAGUGAUGAAGGUCUUCGGAUCGUAAAACUCUGUUAUCAGGGAAGAACAAAUGUGUAAGUAACUGUGCACAUCUUGACGGUACCUGAUCAGAAAGCCACGGCUAACUACGUG